GAGCUUCUGGCCGCCGUCGGAGCUAUUGUCGGGGUCGGUUCAAAAUUGUAGCUGCCUCAUUGUGUUAUUCGUGUUGCUAUGGUUGUUGCGAAUGUGGCUUGAAGCUGAGGUUGCGGUUGUUGUUGAUGUCGGGUUGAGGCGGAAAGGACUCUGUGACGCGUUUGAGUUAUGGAUUUGCGUUCUGAGG